rnacentral:rRNA from 1 species
AUUGACGGGGACCCGCACAAGCAGUGGAGUAUGUGGUUUAAUUCGAAGCAACGCGAAGAACCUUACCAGGUCUUGACAUCCCUAUGAAACCAGUAGAGAUAGCGCCCCCCUUCGGAACAGAGGAGACAGGUGGUGCAUGGUUGUCGUCAGCUCGUGUCGUGAGAUGUUGGGUUAAGUCCCGCAACGAGCGCAACCCUUGACUUUAGUUGCCAGCAGGUUGAGCUGGGCACUCUAGAGUGACUGCCGGUGACAAACCGGAGGAAGGUGGGGAUGACGUCAAAUCAUCAUGCCCCUUAUGACCUGGGCUACACACGUACUACAAUGGCCGGUACAACGGGAAGCGAAACCGCGAGGUGGAGCCAAUCCCAGCAAAGCCGGUCUCAGUUCGGAUUGCAGGCUGCAACUCGCCUGCAUGAAGUCGGAAUUGCUAGUAAUCGCGGAUCAGCAUGCCGCGGUGAAUACGUUCCCGGGUCUUGUACACACCGCCCGUCACACCACGAGAGUUUACAACACCCGAAGUCGGUGGGGUAACCCGCAAGGGAGCCAGCCGCCGAAGGUGG